rnacentral:misc_RNA from 1 species
GGGGGGAGGAAACCCUAGUAAGAGAGGAAGCAAAUCAAAUGCGGAGAGAAAAUCAGAGACGCAUUGGAAUUGAAGAACAAGAAAUGGCAAGAGAUUGAUGGAUCAUUCCGCAGAGAGUAAAAAAUCCGAGAUUGAGUGCUCUUGAGAGAGGGAAAGGUAACAUCAGGGCUCUCAGAAGCAGAGGGGUAGAGAGAAUCAGAGAAAGCAAGAGAGAGAGAGAG